rnacentral:rRNA from 1 species
GACGAACGCUGGCGGCGUGCCUAAUACAUGCAAGUAGAACGCUGAAGGAGGAGCUUGCUCUUCUGGAUGAGUUGCGAACGGGUGAGUAACGCGUAGGUAACCUGCCUGGUAGCGGGGGAUAACUAUUGGAAACGAUAGCUAAUACCGCAUAACAGUAGAUGUUGCAUGACAUUUACUUAAAAGGUGCAAUUGCAUCACUACCAGAUGGACCUGCGUUGUAUUAGCUAGUUGGUGGGGUAACGGCUCACCAAGGCGACGAUACAUAGCCGACCUGAGAGGGGGGUCGGCCACACUGGGACUGGGACACGGCCCAGACUCCUACGGGAGGCAGCAGGAGGGAAUCUUCGGCAAUGGACGGAAGGCUGACCGAGCAACGCCGCGGGAGGGAAGAAGGUUGUCGGAUCGUAAAGCUCGGUUGUAAGAGAAGAACGAGUGUGAGAGUGGAAAGUUCACACUGUGACGGUAGCUUACCAGAAAGGGACGGCUAACUACGUG